rnacentral:lncRNA from 1 species
AAGGGAGUGAGAAAUAAACUACUUUUGCUUUUAAGCCGUUAUAAAAUUUGGCAUGAAUUUGCCAAGCAACUCAACAUUAAUCUACUGUCCUUGAAUUAAUUAUAAAAGUUGCAGACAGUCUUGAACAUUUAACAACACAGACACAAUUAUUCGUGAGGAAUUAAAAUUGGGAAAAGUUCUAAUACUUUUUUUUUUGUAGAACAUUUUUACCAAUUUAAAAAAGUGAUCAUUAUAGAUUAACUUGAAAUCACAAUGCAGAAUUGUGUUAUGCCAUAGAUCACUCAAUAAUUUGUUGUCACAUAUAUGCUUCUCUGCCAAUCCUAGUAGACUUCACACCUUGUGCUAUAUUAUUAGUCUUCCUUUUAUGAGGCAGACAGUACCCAUUUCAUAAAAUAUGAAGACUAUAGCUUCGGGCCAGAGGAUUUGAAUUUUCAUACUAGAGGUUAUAAUAUGUGAUAUCAUGAGCUUGUUUUUAUUGUCCUAGGAGGCUGAUAUUCCUAAUCUAUUCAUAAGGAUGGCAUAUCUACCCAGUGGGCCUGCUGGGACUCCAGUUACCCGAUGCACAUACAUUGCUUGGUGUGAAUGUACAAAGAGACCAAGAAAACCUCAGUCAAACUUGGAAAUUUCCUUUGUAAUAUUCUUUUUAAAGUUAGUUAUG